GGUCAAGCGAACAAGUGCAUGUGGUGGAUGCCUUGGCGAUCACAGGCGAUGAAGGACGCGGUAGCCUGCGAAAAGCUACGGGGAGCUGGCAAACAAGCUUUGAUCCGUAGAUGUCCGAAUGGGGAAACCCACUCCUUUUGGAGUAUCCAUGGCUGAAUACAUAGGCCAUGUGAAGCGAACGCGGUGAACUGAAACAUCUAAGUAACCGCAGGAAAAGAAAUCAACCGAGAUUCCCAAAGUAGUGGCGAGCGAAAUGGGAUGAGCCUUGCACUCUUUAUUUGUAUUGUUAGCCGAACGCUCUGGAAAGUGCGGCCAUAGCAGGUGAUAGCCCUGUAGGCGAAAACAGUAUGAAAGAACUAGGUGUGCGACAAGUAGGGCGGGACACGUGAAAUCCUGUCUGAAGAUGGGGGGACCAUCCUCCAAGGCUAAAUACUCGUGAUCGACCGAUAGUGAACCAGUACCGUGAGGGAAAGGCGAAAAGAACCCCGGGAGGGGAGUGAAAUAGAUCCUGAAACCGCAUGCAUACAAACAGUCGGAGCCUCGUAAGGGGUGACGGCGUACCUUUGUAUAAUGGGUCAGCGACUUACGUUCAGUAGCAAGCUUAACCGUAUAGGGCAGGCGUAGCGAAAGCGAGUCCGAAUAGGGCGUUCAGUUGCUGGGCGUAGACCCGAAACCAGGUGAUCUAUCCAUGGCCAGGAUGAAGGUGCGGUAACACGUACUGGAGGUCCGAACCCACUAACGUUGAAAAGUUAGGGGAUGAGCUGUGGAUAGGGGUGAAAGGCUAAACAAACCUGGAAAUAGCUGGUUCUCUCCGAAAACUAUUUAGGUAGUGCCUCGUGUCUCACCUUCGGGGGUAGAGCACUGUCAUGGUUGGGGGGUCUAUUGCAGAUUACCCCGCCAUAGCAAACUCCGAAUACCGAAGAGUGCAAUCACGGGAGACAGACAUCGGGUGCUAACGUCCGGUGUCAAGAGGGAAACAACCCAGACCGCCAGCUAAGGUCCCCAAAUAUAGCUAAGUGGGAAACGAAGUGGGAAGGCUAAAACAGUCAGGAGGUUGGCUUAGAAGCAGCCACCCUUUAAAGAAAGCGUAAUAGCUCACUGAUCGAGUCGUCCUGCGCGGAAGAUGUAACGGGGCUAAGCUAUAUACCGAAGCUGCGGAUGCGAGCUUUGCUCGCAUGGUAGGAGAGCGUUCCGUAAGCCUGCGAAGGUGCCUUGUAAAGGGUGCUGGAGGUAUCGGAAGUGCGAAUGCUGACAUGAGUAGCGAUAAAGGGGGUGAAAGGCCCCCUCGCCGUAAGCCCAAGGUUUCCUACGCAACGUUCAUCGGCGUAGGGUGAGUCGGCCCCUAAGGCGAGGCAGAAAUGCGUAGCUGAUGGGAAGCAGGUCAAUAUUCCUGCACCAUUGUUAGAUGCGAUGGGGGGACGGAUCGCGGAAGGUUGUCCGGGUGUUGGAAGUCCCGGUCGCUGCAUUGGAGAAGGCGCUUAGGCAAAUCCGGGCGCGGAAUUCAAGGGUGUGGCGCGAGCUCCUUAGGGAGCGAAGCAAUUGGAAGUGGUUCCAAGAAAAGCCUCUAAGCUUCAGUCUAACGAUGACCGUACCGCAAACCGACACAGGUGGGCGAGAUGAGUAUUCUAAGGCGCUUGAGAGAACUCGGGAGAAGGAACUCGGCAAAUUGGUACCGUAACUUCGGGAUAAGGUACGCCCUUGUAGCUUGACUGGCUUGCGCCAGAAGGGUGAAGGGGUUGCAAUAAACUGGUGGCUGCGACUGUUUAAUAAAAACACAGCACUCUGCAAACACGAAAGUGGACGUAUAGGGUGUGACGCCUGCCCGGUGCCGGAAGAUUAAAUGAUGGGGUGCAAGCUCUUGAUUGAAGUCCCGGUAAACGGCGGCCGUAACUAUAACGGUCCUAAGGUAGCGAAAUUCCUUGUCGGGUAAGUUCCGACCUGCACGAAUGGCGUAACGAUGGCCACACUGUCUCCUCCCGAGACUCAGCGAAGUUGAAGUGUUUGUGAUGAUGCAAUCUACCCGCGGCUAGACGGAAAGACCCCAUGAACCUUUACUGUAGCUUUGCAUUGGACUUUGAACCGAUCUGUGUAGGAUAGGUGGGAGGCUAUGAAACCGGAACGCUAGUUUCGGUGGAGCCGUCCUUGAAAUACCACCCUGGUUUGUUUGAGGUUCUAACCUUGGCCCGUGAUCCGGGUCGGGGACAGUGCAUGGUAGGCAGUUUGACUGGGGCGGUCUCCUCCCAAAGCGUAACGGAGGAGUACGAAGGUACGCUAGGUACGGUCGGAAAUCGUGCUGAUAGUGCAAUGGCAUAAGCGUGCUUAACUGCGAGACCGACAAGUCGAGCAGGUGCGAAAGCAGGUCAUAGUGAUCCGGUGGUUCUGUAUGGAAGGGCCAUCGCUCAACGGAUAAAAGGUACUCUGGGGAUAACAGGCUGAUACCGCCCAAGAGUUCAUAUCGACGGCGGUGUUUGGCACCUCGAUGUCGGCUCAUCUCAUCCUGGGGCUGUAGCCGGUCCCAAGGGUAUGGCUGUUCGCCAUUUAAAGAGGUACGUGAGCUGGGUUUAAAACGUCGUGAGACAGUUUGGUCCCUAUCUGCCGUGGGCGUUGGAUAUUUGAAGGGGGCUGCUCCUAGUACGAGAGGACCGGAGUGGACGAACCUCUGGUGUACCGGUUGUCACGCCAGUGGCAUCGCCGGGUAGCUAUGUUCGGAAGAGAUAACCGCUGAAAGCAUCUAAGCGGGAAACUCGCCUUAAGAUGAGAUAUCCCUGGGGACUAGAUCCCCUUGAAGGGUCGUUCGAGACCAGGACGUUGAUAGGUCAGGUGUGUAAGCGCAGUAAUGCGUUCAGCUAACUGAUACUAAUUGCCCGUAAGGCUUGAUCCU
rnacentral:rRNA from 1 species